rnacentral:rRNA from 1 species
AUGCAGCUGGCAGUGGCUCUGCUCUGCCUCCUGAGCAUCUCCGGCGAGCUUUUGAUGCCCCUGUGUGAGGGGUGUGUGCAGGCCGAUAAGAGAGCGCUUCUGGACAUCCACAUCCAGCUCUCCACGCUGCCGCACAUCGACUGGGACAGGUCGGACUGGGACUGGGGUGACGGACAUUGCUGCCAGUGGCUGGGGGUGACCUGCAGCAACUCCCGCCCCGCCCGUGUGACGGGCCUCAAUCUUCUUGCAUUUGUUCCUUCCCCGUGGCUCCUCAACGCUACUAUGUUCCUUUCCUUCCAAGAACUGCAGACCCUCACCCUGAGUUUAAAUAUAAAGGGAUGCAUACCUGGUGCAGUUUUUUUUUUUGGCAAGUUAGACCCAAAUUAUAGUCAAUUUUUUUUUGCAAAUCAACUAUGUUGCCAUGGCUAUCCUAGUUUCUUUAGUUCUACCAACUAUUUCGUCUUGCCAUCUCCUCUGUUGCUUCAACACUUCAGAUUAUGUUUCAAUGUGUGGUCAAAAUUACGAAAAUUAAGAAGCCUUGAUCUAUCUGGAAAUAUCUUGAGUGCCGAUAGCAUCCGAUCCCUAGUUGCAGUUUCAUCACUACGGUGCCUGUCCAUCAGUUCAAAUGACUUGACCUCCCCCGUGGCGAUUCAACAUUUGAGUACAAUGAAGCUGGAUACUCUUGAUCUAAGCGAUAAUGCAUUCAACGGCACCUUACCAACAGAUAUUUGCAACAUGGAAAACCUUGAAGAAUUAUAUCUUCUUAGCAGUACGUUAUUUGGAGAGCUUCCAUCGUGCAUAGGGAAUCUUACUUCUCUCAGAAUUCUUGAUCUGUCGAAUAAUCUAUUUACGAUAAAGUUUCCCUCUCUUAGCUUUGCCCAUUUGACUUCAUUGGUGAAACUUUCCCUAUCCAAUAACAAUCUUGAAGGAGUUCUCUUCCUAGGUUCCUUGUCAAACAGUAGCCAAUUGACACAUCUGGAUCUUUCAAGCAGUGGUAACCAUUUUCAACUGGAAACUGUGACUUCAACAAUUAGCCUGUCAGCUCAGCUGCAGGUUAUGGUACUGCCAAACUGUAACCUUAAUGGCAAUUCUGCCGUUAUAUUAAGUUUCUUAUCGCAUCAACAUGCAUUAGAAGCUGUUGAUAUCUCUAAUAAUAACCUAAACGGUCACUUCCCUUCGUGGUUGAUAGAGAAAAAUGUGAAUUUGUCACAUCUAAAUCUGCAAGGCAACUCCUUUAGUGGAAUUCUUCCGCUUCCAUUCAAACUAAGCAAAUUACCUACGGGCAUCAACAUCACAUUCCCAAAUCUGUACUAUGUAAACCUGUCUAGGAAUUCCUUCCAGGGCAUCUUUCCUUCGGGGCUUCACUAUAUAGACAGCCUGACAUUUUUGGACUUGUCUAACAACAAUUUCUUCGAUAACAUAGUGUCCGCCUUUAAUGGAAGCAAGUCCAAUAUCCGUUCUUUGUUCCUGUCUGGCAACAAUUUCUAUGGUUCAUUCCCUCAAGACAUACUAUUAGCUUCCACCUACCAUCUACUACUCAACGAUAACCAAAUCACCGGGGAAAUCCCUGAUAAUAUAUGUCUUGGUCAGCAACUUACUUUGCUUGAUGUUAGCAGUAACAAGUUGACUGGCUCUCUCCCUACUUGCAUACAUGCACUCGAAAAUAUUGCCAUCUUGAAUCUAAGAGGCAAUUCAUUGGGUGGACCGAUUCCGCUGGAAUUAUGCCACCUUAAAAAUCUUGUGUUCCUCGAUAUGUCAAAAAACAGCCUUUCCGGUCCAGUGCAAUGCUUACCCAGUUUGCAGUAUCUUCACCUGAGUGAAAAUCGACUAAAUGGAACGUUCCCUUUCCCAUUGUCCUGGGGAACUGGUACAUACACAAUGGAUCUACGGCAGAACCAAUUCAGUGGAAUCCUUCCAGAAUUGAUGCACAAGUCCUUUCCAAAGCUAAAAAUAUUGUUGCUCGAAGGAAAUAUGUUUGAAGGACUGAUUCCAAAUGAUAUAUGUCACUUAAGGUAUUUGCGUCUACUAGAUCUGUCUCAUAAUAAGCUCUCUGGGCAGCUACCUUCAUGCUUGAGCCAUAUGGGGUUAGAUGGUGAUUUGUAUAACUUCCUAUACAAUGACUCAGAUACUUCAGUAGUAAUGAAUGACACCGAUGGCUAUGCUGGGAGCGUAGUAGGUAGUUCUCCCGUGCCUGAAUUUUUCAUAGGACCAGACCAAGAAGAAUUCAUGACCAAGAGCAGGCAAGACAAAUACAAGGGAAACAUCCUCAGUUACAUGUCUGGACUUGAUUUCUCUUCAAACCAGUUGGAAGGAUACAUUCCUAAAAGUAUAGGUGACAUGAAAUGGUUACGGGCACUGAAUUUUUCCAACAAUCGCUUUCAUGGACCAAUACCAGGUUCCUUGUCACAUUUAAGUAAUCUCGAGACCUUGGAUCUGUCGCACAACAACUUGACAGGUCAAAUACCACAAGAGUUGGUGGAACUACACUCUCUCGAGGUAUUCAGUGUGGCGUACAAUAACUUGUCCGGUCCUACGUUGGGUAGAAACGGUCAAUUCAUCACAUUUGAUGAGAGCAGCUAUGCGGGCAAUCCAUAUCUCUGCGGCCCACCACUGCUGAAGAGUUGCUUUGAUGCACCGUUGAUUCCUCAGCCUAAAGAAGAUGAAGAUGAUAGUAAACUUGGCAAUCUUGCACUAUUCAGUUUUUCAGUGUUGUGCUACAUGAUUGGUUUCUGGACCUCCUUGGUUGUGCUUUAUUUCAAGAGAAGCUGGCGAUGGUCAUGGUUUUCAGCAGUGGACAGGCUUGGUGACAUUCUGAUGGUUAGGUCAGCUUUAUACAUGACAAGGUUUAACCGCACCGACUGA